rnacentral:rRNA from 1 species
GAAAAAGCAGGGCAGGGAGCAGGGGGAAGACGGGGGAGGGAAUGAUUAGUCGGAAUCACUGGGCGUAAAGAGCGUGUAGGCUGGUGAAUAAGUCAGAAGUGAAAUCCUAUAGCUUAACUAUAGAACUGCUUUUGAAACUGUGUACCUAGAAUGUGGGAGAGGCAGAUGGAAUUUCUGGUGUAGGGGUAAAAUCCGUAGAGAUCAGAAGGAAUACCGAUUGCGAAGGCGAUCUACUGGAACAUUAUUGACGCUGAGAUGCGAAAGCGUGGGGAGCAAACAGGAUUAGAUACCCCUGUAGUC